GACGCUGGCGGCAUGCCUUACACAUGCAAGUCGAGCGGCAGCGCGGGGGCAACCCUGGCGGCGAGCGGCGCACGGGUGAGUAAUGCAUCGGAACGUGUCCACUUGUGGGGGAUAACCAGUCGAAAGACUGGCUAAUACCGCAUGAGAUCGAGAGAUGAAAGCAGGGGACCCGCAAGGGCCUUGCGCGAGAGGAGCGGCCGAUGCCCGAUUAGCUAGUUGGUGGGGUAAUGGCCCACCAAGGCGACGAUCGGUAGCUGGUUUGAGAGAACGACCAGCCACACUGGGACUGAGACACGGCCCAGACUCCUACGGGAGGCAGCAGUGGGGAAUUUUGGACAAUGGGGGCAACCCUGAUCCAGCCAUGCCGCGUGUGUGAAGAAGGCCUUCGGGUUGUAAAGCACUUUCGGCCGGAACGAAAUCGCACGGGUGAACAUCCCGUGUGGAUGACGGUACCGGAAGAAGAAGCACCGGCUAACUACGUGCCAGCAGCCGCGGUAAUACGUAGGGUGCGAGCGUUAAUCGGAAUUACUGGGCGUAAAGUGUGCGCAGGCGGUCUCGCAAGUCAAGUGUGAAAGCCCCGGGCUUAACCUGGGAACUG
rnacentral:rRNA from 1 species